UGAAAACCAAAUAAGUUGCUGCUAGCACUCACAUAUAUGUUCAACUUAUUUUGUAUUGAAUGGUUCUAAAUGCAGAGAAGAUGGUAUUUCUGGAGUAAGCCCGGCUGAUAUGAUGGAAUUGAUGAAUUUUGGGCAAGGGAGGAGAUCAAAAAAGGUAUGAUGUACACAUGUUCAGUCACAGUUGUGCAAUAUCUUGAUAAGAGAUUCACCAUCAUAUGCUAUGCUACCAUUCAUUAAUUCCUUUAACAAAGGGAGAUUGCAGGCUUUAGACUCUAGCAAUGGAACAGGCAUCAAUGAAUGAUACACUUGGUAUUGUGAUUUUGGAAGAAAAUUGUUUACAUUCAUGCCGGUUACAUUUAUCCACUAAUAGUUUUUUUAGAGUUUCCAUUUUUUCCAUGCCAGGUCUGGCGAUUUUGCUGCAUUUUUGUUUUUUGUUUUUAUUAUAUAUUCUUUUUUCAUUAGUUUUCUGUCUUAGAUGAGUGGUUUUUACUAGUUUAAUUUUACACCUCUUUCUUUGUCAGAUUUUGUUCUUUCAUUUUCUCAGGUAGAUUUUUUCCUUGAAAGGAGUUAGAUGAGAAUGUGAAAAGGAUGAACAUUCUGAAUUACAUGAUAAGUAUUUACUUGAUUAUUUGUCUUUACGAUAACUUACAUGGCACCUUUUCAAUAUUGUUUAAAUUCCAGAGGUCUAAAAAAAGAGGGAGGCAAAGAGGAUCAAAGAAGAAAAUUGACGAAAAUAUAUCACGAAUGUUGGGCGAUGCCAACAUUCACUAUGCAAAUCGUCGUUAUGAGAUGGUACAUUAUUCUAUUCUCAACCUUUGUUAUUUAUAACCAAGUGAACACAUUCAAAUCAAUAAUCAAAUCAGUUGACUAUAGGGAUAAAUAAACUUACAAACCUAAUCUCAUAGAAAGAUUUUCUCUACGGAGUAUAACUUAAAUCUAUACUUAUCUUAACAAGACGGUUUCAG
rnacentral:lncRNA from 1 species